rnacentral:rRNA from 1 species
CUUGACUCUUAUAAGAGGUCCAGCCUGCCCAGUGACCAUGUUCAACGGCCGCGGUAUCCUAACCGUGCGAAGGUAGCGUAAUCACUUGUUCUUUAAAUGUGGACUAGUAUGAAUGGCACCACGAAGGUUAUACUGUCUCCUUUUUCUAAUCAGUGAAACUAAUCUCCCCGUGAAGAAGCGAGGAUAUACCUAUAAGACGAGAAGACCCUAUGGAGCUUUAAACAACACAGCAAUUACCUGCUAAACUAAGAAGUUUCUGAACAUUUUCAAUCUUUUAAGUAAUCUGACUGCAAGUUUUUGGUUGGGGUGACCACGGAGCAUAACACAACCUCCAUGUUGAAAGAAUUCUUUCUAAGCCAAGAACAACCUUUCUAAGCAUUAAUAUAUUGACAUCCAUUGACCCAAUACAUUUGACCAACGAAC